UACGUAGGGUGCAAGCGUUGUCCGGAAUCAUUGGGCGUAAAGCGCGUGUAGGCGGUCCGGUAAGUCCGCUGUGAAAAGUCGGGGGGCUCAACCCUCGGAUGCCGGUGGAUACUGUCGGGCUUGAGUACGGAAGAGGCGAGUGGAAUUCCUGGUGUAGCGGUGAAAUGCGCAGAUAUCAGGAGGAACACCAAUUGCGAAGGCAGCUCGCUGGGACGUACUGACGCUGAGACGCGAAAGCGUGGGGAGCAAACAGG
rnacentral:rRNA from 1 species